CAGCCGCCGCGGUAAAACCAGCACCUCAAGUGGUCAGGAUGAUUAUUGGGCCUAAAGCAUCCGUAGCCGGCUCUGUAAGUUUCCGGUUAAAUCUGUACGCUCAACGUACAGGCUGCCGGGAAUACUGCAGAGCUAGGGAGUGGGAGAGGUAGACGGUACUCGAUAGGAAGGGGUAAAAUCCUUUGAUCUAUUGAUGACCACCUGUGGCGAAGGCGGUCUACCAGAACACGUCCGACGGUGAGGGAUGAAAGCUGGGGGAGCAAACCGGAUUAGAUACCCGGGUAGUCCCAGCUGUAAACUAUGCAAACUCAGUGAUGCAUUGGCUUGUGGCCAAUGCAGUGCUGCAGGGAAGCCGUUAAGUUUGCCGCCUGGGAAGUACGUACGCAAGUAUGAAACUUAAAGGAAUUGGCGGGGGAGCAC
rnacentral:rRNA from 2 species